rnacentral:tRNA from 1 species
UCAGGAAUAAUCGGGAUAGCUCAGUUGGUAG